GUUGUAGUGGCUGGUGGGGUGGGGAAAUUAAAAAUUAAGAAAGGGAUUUUGCAGUGGGUGGAGAUGGAGCAAGCGGAGAGGGUACUGGAGAGAGAAUAGGGUGCCCCAGGGGAAGGUGGGAUAUUCUUGCCUCUUCCUGCUGUCUGCCAGGUCUGGAUUGUAAAGCUGGCCGAUUACUAAGGAGAUCCACUUUUAGAGCUGUGCGGAAGUUGUUACCACUUACCUGGAAAGAGUCAGGACAAACUAGAGUCCAGUUCUCUAUUCAGGUUAUUAGUUCAAGAUGGCAGACCAGAGGCAACGUUCGCUGUCUACCUCUGGAGAAUCAUUAUACCACGUGCUAGGACUGGAUAAGAAUGCCACCUCUGAUGAUAUUAAAAAGUCAUACAGGAAGCUUGCAUUGAAAUACCAUCCUGAUAAGAACCCUGAUAAUCCAGAGGCAGCAGAAAAAUUUAAAGAGAUCAACAAUGCACAUGCGAUAUUGACUGAUGCCACGAAGAGAAACAUUUAUGAUAAGUAUGGUUCUCUGGGUCUGUAUGUAGCAGAGCAAUUUGGAGAAGAAAAUGUGAACACAUACUUCGUCCUAUCCAGCUGGUGGGCAAAGGCCUUGUUUGUGUUCUGUGGGCUCAUCACAGGCUGCUAUUGCUGUUGCUGUCUGUGUUGCUGCUGUAAUUGUUGCUGUGGGAAGUGUAAACCUAAACCUCCUGAAGGUGAAGAGCAGGAAUACUACGUCUCUCCAGAGGACUUGGAGGCACAGUUGCAGUCAGAUGAAAGGGAGGCCUCAGAAACACCUAUUGUGAUACAGCCAGCAUCAGCCACAGAGACAACCCAGCUCACAGCUGACUCUCACCCCAGCUACCACACUGAUGGAUUUAAUUAA
rnacentral:lncRNA from 1 species